GACAGAGGGUGCAAACGUUGUUCGGAAUUACUGGGCGUAAAGCGCGUGUAGGCGGCUAUGCGAGUCGGAUGUGAAAGCCCUCGGCUCAACCGGGGAAGUGCACCCGAAACUGCAAAGCUAGAGUCUCGGAGAGGAUCGUGGAAUUCUCGGUGUAGAGGUGAAAUUCGUAGAUAUCGAGAGGAACACCGGUGGCGAAGGCGGCGAUCUGGACGAUGACUGACGCUGAGACGCGAAAGCUAGGGGAGCAAACGGG
rnacentral:rRNA from 1 species